UACGUAGGGUGCGAGCGUUGUCCGGAAUUAUUGGGCGUAAAGGGCUCGUAGGCGGUUUGUCGCGUCGGGAGUGAAAACCUUGGGCUUAACUCAGGGCUUGCUUUCGAUACGGGCAGACUAGAGGUAUGCAGGGGAGAACGGAAUUCCUGGUGUAGCGGUGAAAUGCGCAGAUAUCAGGAGGAACACCGAUGGCGAAGGCAGGUCUCUGGGCCACUACUGACGCUGAGGAGCGAAAGCGUGGGGAGCGAACAGG
rnacentral:rRNA from 1 species